rnacentral:rRNA from 1 species
UUCGCAAUGCCCGAAAGGGUGACGAAGCGACGCCGCGUGUGGGAAGAAGGCCUUCGGGUUGUAAACCACUGUCGGGAGUUAAGAAAUGCAAGGAUAUUAAUAGUGUCUUUGUUUGACUAAGGCUCCGGAGGAAGCCACGGCUAACUCUGUGCCAGCAGCCGCGGUAAUACAGAGGCGGCAAGCGUUGUUCGGAAUUAUUGGGCGUAAAGAGCACGUAGGCGGCUAUGUAAGUCGGUUGUGAAGGCCUUCCGCUCAACGGAAGAACAGCAUCCGAUACUACAUGGCUUGAGUGCGGGAGGGGAGAGUGGAACUUCUGGUGGAGCGGUGAAAUGCGUAGAUAUCAGAAGGAACGCCGGCGGCGAAAGCGGCUCUCUGGCCCAUAACUGACGCUGAGUGUGCGAAAGCUAGGGGAGCAAACGGGAUUAGAUACCCCGGUAGUCCUAGCCGUAAACGAUGGGCACUAAGUAGAGGGGUUUU